rnacentral:rRNA from 1 species
CCUACGGGAGGCAGCAGUGGGGAAUAUUGGGCAAUGGAGGAAACUCUGACCCAGCAACGCCGCGUGAAUGAUGAAGGUCUUCGGAUUGUAAAGUUCUUUUCUAAGGGAAGAAGAAAGUGACGGUACCUUAGGAAUAAGCCUCGGCUAACUACGUGCCAGCAGCCGCGGUAAUACGUAGGAGGCAAGCGUUAUCCGGAAUGACUGGGCGCAAAGGGUGCGUAGGUGGUUUGACAAGUUGGUAGCGUAACUCCGAGGCUCAACCUCGGCACUACUACCAAAACUGUUGGACUUGAGUGCAGGAGGGGCAAAUGGAAUUCCUGGUGUAGCGGUGGAAUGCGUAGAUAUUAGGAGGAACACCAGUGGCGAAGGCGGUCUGCUGGACAGCAACUGACGGUGAGGCGCGAAAGCGUGGGGAGCAAACAGGAUUAGAUACCCGGGUAGUC